GGAUGCGAUCAUACCGGCACUAAAGCACCGGAUCCCAUCAGAACUCCGAAGUUAAGUGUGCUUGGGUGAGAGUAGUACUAGGAUGGGUGACCUCGUGGGAAGUCCUCGUGUUGCAUUCG
rnacentral:rRNA from 16 species